rnacentral:rRNA from 1 species
GAUGAACGCUAGCGAUAGGCUUAACACAUGCAAGUCGAGGGGCAGCACAAGGUAGCUUGCUAUCUGGGUGGCGACCGGCGCACGGGUGCGUAACGCGUAUGCAACUUGCCCUAUACAGGAGGAUAACCCGUCGAAAGACGGACUAAUACUGCGUAUGCUCACAACUUGGCAUCAAGUGGUGAGGAAAGAAAUUCGGUAUAGGAUAGGCAUGCGUCCCAUUAGCUUGUUGGUGAGGUAACGGCUCACCAAGGCAACGAUGGGUAGGGGAACUGAGAGGUUUAUCCCCCACACUGGUACUGAGACACGGACCAGACUCCUACGGGAGGCAGCAGUGAGGAAUAUUGGUCAAUGGGCGCGAGCCCGAACCAGCCAAGUCGCGUGAAGGAUGACUGUCUUAUGGAUUGUAAACUUCUUUUAUACGGGAAUAACAAGAGUCACGUGUGACUCCCUGCAUGUACCGUAUGAAUAAGCAUCGGCUAACUCCGUG